rnacentral:lncRNA from 1 species
UAGCCAUACAGAAGAACUCAAAGGCCUAGACAAGAGAUCUGGAAGGAAACCUUGGGAGUUUCUAUGCCUUCUAGCAUAAAAGAACAUGUUGCAGGCUUGGGAAAGGGGAGAGUCAGAGGGAAGGCAACUCGUGCAGAUCUCAGAGAAAAGAGCAAUAAGCCCUGGUGAGGUGCCAAGUAGGAUUAAGGAAACAGAGAGGAGACGGACCAGGCUCAGCUGCCUGGGUAGAGAGGGAACAGGUGGCUGAUGUGGCCUUAGGCAGCCGUGGAGAGUGUCUCCUGAGUGGUGAAAGGGCAGCGUAAAGUCUUCUGAGUGCCCUCAGUGGACGUGGACGUUUUGCAGAAGAGCUGCAGAAAAUGACAGAGCCAUGUAGCUAGCAACAACGCAGACCUACACGGACUAGUGCUCAAAGACCUGAAAGACCCUGGACAUUUCAGGGGAUGCCGUGUAGACAGAGGACAUGGAGACCAAAGGACUCCUUCUUCCAACUCACUUGAUACACAAGCUUUCUGAAACUUGCUGAGAGAUUUUGUUCUUACAUGGCUGACUUUGUCAAAAGAGGUUUGAAACCAUUUACGUAUGGGAUCAGAUGGGAAUGUUAUAGUAUCAAGGAUCAUGCUUUCGUUUGGAAAUAACAGAACACAACUCGAAGUGCUAAGCAAUAAGAGCUGUUACACAGAAACGCAGAAAAAGAAGUUCAAAGGGAAGCACAUGGCUGUCUCCUGUGAAACCUGUAGGCAGGUCAAGAAGCAACAGUCAGAACCAGAAAUGGAAUGAUGCACUAGUUCCAAACUGGGAAAGGAAUACGGCAAGGCUGUGUAGUGUCA